rnacentral:lncRNA from 13 species
AUGCCUCUGGAAGCGCUGUCGGACGCGCGGUGCGCUCGGGUGGGACCGCGCUGCCAGAGCCUCAGCAGGGGCAACGAGGGACAACUGAUCUGCUCCGUGAGCCCUCAGGGACGGCAUAAAAAAACAAACAAACCCCCCAAAACCCCGAAGCAGCUGAGAUCUUCGGUGCGGGAAGACGAGCAGCUCCUCCCCAGCCGGGCUCUCAGCCCGCAUCCCGCGGGGCAUCCCGGGCACCGGCACUGCCUUUCUCCCGGGGAUAACCCCCACCUGCCCUCUCAGAGCCACAGGAUCACAGACUGCGCAAGGAGCCGCGGGAGCGCGCUCUGCUCGCAGCCUGUGUGAGGUGCUCAUCCCGGAAAGCGAGGGGAAGGCGUGUUCCCAGGAGCGCUUCUCUCGUCCCUGCCCUGGCUCAGGGAUCUCUCGCCGCUGCACUGGGCGCUGUGGGACCUCUUAGGGUGGGACAGAGGCCCCCUCAGGCAGAGCCCACAGGUGUUCCUGGAGCAAAGGCGUCCUUUGUAGGUGAUGGGUUUGCAGCCGGGUCCAGAGCGAGGAGCACCAGCAGCGUCCUCUGAGCCCCAAGACCGCUGGUUACUCCAGGAGGGACCUGAGGGUAGCGGGCUGUGUCACUGUCCUUCCUUUCCCAUUAAAGAGAAGGCCCAAACCUUCCUUAGUUGUUAUACCAUUGCUGCAUUAUAGAGUUUUCAACUGUUCUCAACAUCUCUGGGUAUUUUGGGGGUUUUGCUGAUGUUUGUGAUUGUAGUCCUUGAUACUUGCACUGUUCUUUCAGAACUCUGCCCAUCUGACGUACCUUCCCCUUUCUGCAUGUUUCCUUCUUGUUUCUGCAUGUUUCCUUCUUGUUUCUGCAUGUUUCCUUCUUGUUUCUGCAUGUUUCCUUCUUGUUUCAGGUCAAACAAAACUCACACUUUCUCCAAAUUACUUGCUUGCUAUCCCUCCUUCCUGUACACUAGGGUAGUUGAGAUUUGGUGGUUAUCAUUCCUUUGAAGAACACUGAGCUUCCUACUUGCCCUUUUUUCUGCCGGACUAUUCCUAUGUGAUCCAGCAUAACAUUUCUCCAGUUCUUUCAUCCUAGAGAUUGGUUAUGUUUGCUUUUCUCUGUCCUUCGGUUUGCGCAGAUCACCCAAUGUAAAGUUAUCAUCCUUACCCAGGUUGGUUUCCCCAUUCCUAUCACAAGUGUUUGUCUCCUGGAGCCAUGCAGAGAAGCACUCCCAUUCCACAUGGUUUCUCUAUCUUCCAUGUCAGAGUUUGUCACCAGUAUUCCAGGAAAUGUCCCUUGUUGUGGUCCUUCCUGCACAACCGUGUGUCCCAUUGUCAUGAGCUUGGGUGAUUCCGCUAGCUGUUUGGAGAAAGCUCCUCUGUCCCAUGAGUUGGGGUUUGUGGGAGGUCCUUACCAGGACAGGGCCCAGCUUCUUUCCUCUCAUCAUUCUCAGGGGCUUCUCUUGAAGCAGCCGUCACUCCCUUCUCACAUUCGAUUUUAGAACUGGUGCAUAAAAAACAAGGCUGUCUCUCUUCCUCUCCCAUUACCUCCCUGAGGAAGGCAUUACCUUUACCUUUAUGUUUGUAUUCCAGUUACCUGGGUUACACCUUUGUUGCCUCAAUUAGAACAAUUAGAAGAUACUCUUUAUAUUUUAGUCUAUGUAGCCAUUUGUGCAUUGGAGGAAUUUUUGGUGGGUUGUUUUGUUGUUGUUGUUUUUUUUUUUAAUAUAAUGGGAUUAAGCAAAUUAAAUCUGGUAGCAGAAGAAGGUAAAGACCCCCAUCAGACUCAGAUCAGUAUUGUAGUGAAGCACUUGGAUUUUAAGCCCAGGCAGAUUCUGACUGCAUAGAAUCCACAUAACCAUAUGCUGAAGUUCUGUGCCGAAUCAAAGCUUUAAUUUCCUUCUCAUUUCUUGUGGCCUGUUCUGCAUUUUAAGAUGAGACAGAGUGUGAAAUAAAAUACUCAGAAAAAUAAUUUCUCUAGGGCAUAUUCUGUUUGAUAAUGUCAUACCUGGAACUUCAUCUGGGCUGUCAAAACAAUGUCGCAUGACAGUAAAACUGAGCACACUUCAUAUACAUAAAUCUUUCACAGUCUGUAACUCGG